CAAUAGCGUAUAUUAAAGUUGUUGCAGUUAAAAAGCUCGUAGUUGGAUUUCUGGUGAGGUGGAUUAUGUCUAGGUCGAAAGAUCUUGUUCAUGGUUCGUUUUGCCCUUCUUGUCAGGAACCCGCUGAGAUUCGCGUCUUGUCGGUGGAAUGGCAUCGUUUACUGUGAAAAAAUUAGAGUGUUCAAAGCAGGCAUCGCCGUUGAAUACAUUAGCAUGGAAUAAUAAGAUAAGACUUUGGUGGUCUAUUUUGUUGGUUUGCACGCCAAAGUAAUGAUUAAUAGGGAUAGUUGGGGGUAUUCGUAUUCUAUUGCUAGAGGUGAAAUUCUUAAAUUUAUGGAAGACGAACUACUGCGAAAGCAUUUACCAAGGAUGUUUUCAUUAA
rnacentral:rRNA from 1 species